rnacentral:rRNA from 1 species
UACGUAGGGUGCAAGCGUUGUCCGGAAUUAUUGGGCGUAAAGAGCUCGUAGGCGGUCUGUCGCGUCUGCUGUGAAAAUCCAGGGCUCAACCCUGGACCUGCAGUGGGUACGGGCAGACUAGAGUGCGGUAGGGGAGAUCGGAAUUCCUGGUGUAGCGGUGAAAUGCGCAGAUAUCAGGAGGAAUACCGAUGGCGAAGGCAGGUCUCUGGGCCACUACUGACGCUGAGAAGCGAAAGCAUGGGGAGCGAACAGG